AUGGAGGCCUCGCCGUCUCGCAGCGACAGCUUCUCCCGCGCGUGGCUCGGCUGCAGGGCGUCCAUUGAGCGGCUCGACGCCGACGCUGGCCUCGGGUGCUCGUUCAACAGCUCCACGUCCUUCAUCGAUAUGGACCCCGCGGAGCUCUUCUCCAUGCGGUGGACGUCCUCCGCCGCAGUGCCGGCGGAUGAUGACGAGGAGGCUGCCGAGUUCGACUUUGGCCAGCUGACGUGCGCCGGCGCGCAGUGCUUCUCCCCGCUGCUCGUCGGCGCCGGACAGCCCCUCCUCCCGUGCGAGCCUGGCGUCGUGUCCUACGUGUCGUCCCCCGCUUUCUACUCCGCGCAGAGCACGCCGGCCUCCGCGGUCAGCUCGCGCCGUCGUGGCCGGCACGCGCCGCUGGUGGCGACGCGGAGGAUACUGCUGAGGUACCUGCGCCUCCUGGCGCCGCUGUGCCGGAAGGUGAGGGCGCUGCCGGUGCGGGCGCUCGCGCCGCGGUCGUCGUCCAGGGCUGCUGCCUUCGCCGCGGCGACGUCGUCCCCGGCGCGGCAGUCCACGUCCAGCUACGCGAGCGCCACGGAGUACUGGUGCCACGGCCACGCCGACACCGCCGUCAGCGACGCCAUCCUCUACUGCAAGAAAUCCAUCCAGGGACGACAGGACGUGUAG
rnacentral:rRNA from 1 species